UACGUAGGUGGCAAGCGUUAUCCGGAAUUAUUGGGCGUAAAGAGCGCGCAGGUGGUUGAUUAAGUCUGAUGUGAAAGCCCACGGCUUAACCGUGGAGGGUCAUUGGAAACUGGUCGACUUGAGUGCAGAAGAGGGAAGUGGAAUUCCAUGUGUAGCGGUGAAAUGCGUAGAGAUAUGGAGGAACACCAGUGGCGAAGGCGGCUUCCUGGUCUGUAACUGACGCUGAGGCUCGAAAGCGUGGGGAGCAAACAGGAUUAGAUACCCCGGUA
rnacentral:rRNA from 1 species